GUUCAUUCAGAUGAUAACUUCAGCCGAAGCAUUAGCUAGUGGAGGUAAAAUUGUGAACCACUAUGACUAUACGUUGAACAUGGAGCUUAUAACGAGCGACGUUAGCUAGUCACCAUAACUGUUGUUAGUUAUAACUGACGUCUGAAACUCUUAUUGAUGCCGUUUAUUUGUUAAACACAAAUUUGAAUCAACACUUCUUGUCUAUGCAAAGUUUCCCUGUAGGUGAUCCAGACAGGCUGGGUGCUGGAGAGGGCUCUGGACUCCUAACUUCACUUCUCGUCUGUGCAGUCGACUCAGAAGCAUCACUUCAGCACUGAUUCCAUGAUCUGGAACAUUUUGAAAUCCUUCCAGAUGGGGCACAAGUCAUUGAGCAGUGGCAGCUUCUGACUUCAAAGACUUUGUUCACCAGCAGACCCCUUGAUGAUUACCUUUAUUUACAGCAUUUGCAUCUGUCAGUCUUUAAAGUGAUCUAAUAUGUAUUGACUAUGUACUAGCUUAGUACAUAUUAGUUUUUGUUAUUUUAGUUUCACAAAUUCAGUGGUUACCUGUAAUGCUCAAGAUAUACAAGUAAAAAAUCACCUUUA